GGAGCCGACCUUGAAAUACCACCCUUUAAUGUUUGAUGUUCUAACGUGGACCCGUGAUCCGGGUUGCGGACAGUGUCUGGUGGGUAGUUUGACUGGGGCGGUCUCCUCCUAAAGAGUAACGGAGGAGCACGAAGGUUGGCUAAUCCUGGUCGGACAUCAGGAGGUUAGUGCAAUGGCAUAAGCCAGCUUGACUGCGAGCGUGACGGCGCGAGCAGGUGCGAAAGCAGGUCAUAGUGAUCCGGUGGUUCUGAAUGGAAGGGCCAUCGCUCAACGGAUAAAAGGUACUCCGGGGAUAACAGGCUGAUACCGCCCAAGAGUUCAUAUCGACGGCGGUGUUUGGCACCUCGAUGUCGGCUCAUCACAUCCUGGGGCUGAAGUAGGUCCCAAGGGUAUGGCUGUUCGCCAUUUAAAGUGGUACGCGAGCUGGGUUUAGAACGUCGUGAGACAGUUCGGUCCCUAUCUGCCGUGGGCGCUGGAGAACUGAGGGGGGCUGCUCCUAGUACGAGAGGACCGGAGUGGACGCAUCACUGGUGUUCGGG
rnacentral:rRNA from 1 species